rnacentral:rRNA from 2 species
UGCAAGUCGAACGAACUCUGGUAUUGAUUGGUGCUUGCAUCAUGAUUUACAUUUGAGUGAGUGGCGAACUGGUGAGUAACACGUGGGAAACCUGCCCAGAAGCGGGGGAUAACACCUGGAAACAGAUGCUAAUACCGCAUAACAACUUGGACCGCAUGGUCCGAGCUUGAAAGAUGGCUUCGGCUAUCACUUUUGGAUGGUCCCGCGGCGUAUUAGCUAGAUGGUGGGGUAACGGCUCACCAUGGCAAUGAUACGUAGCCGACCUGAGAGGGUAAUCGGCCACAUUGGGACUGAGACACGGCCCAAACUCCUACGGGAGGCAGCAGUAGGGAAUCUUCCACAAUGGACGAAAGUCUGAUGGAGCAACGCCGCGUGAGUGAAGAAGGGUUUCGGCUCGUAAAACUCUGUUGUUAAAGAAGAACAUAUCUGAGAGUAACUGUUCAGGUAUUGACGGUAUUUAACCAGAAAGCCACGGCUAACUACGUGCCAGCAGCCGCGGUAAUACGUAGGUGGCAAGCGUUGUCCGGAUUUAUUGGGCGUAAAGCGAGCGCAGGCGGUUUUUUAAGUCUGAUGUGAAAGCCUUCGGCUCAACCGAAGAAGUGCAUCGGAAACUGGGAAACUUGAGUGCAGAAGAGGACAGUGGAACUCCAUGUGUAGCGGUGAAAUGCGUAGAUAUAUGGAAGAACACCAGUGGCGAAGGCGGCUGUCUGGUCUGUAACUGACGCUGAGGCUCGAAAGUAUGGGUAGCAAACAGGAUUAGAUACCCUGGUAGUCCAUACCGUAAACGAUGAAUGCUAAGUGUUGGAGGGUUUCCGCCCUUCAGUGCUGCAGCUAACGCAUUAAGCAUUCCGCCUGGGGAGUACGGCCGCAAGGCUGAAACUCAAAGGAAUUGACGGGGGCCCGCACAAGCGGUGGAGCAUGUGGUUUAAUUCGAAGCUACGCGAAGAACCUUACCAGGUCUUGACAUACUAUGCAAAUCUAAGAGAUUAGACGUUCCCUUCGGGGACAUGGAUACAGGUGGUGCAUGGUUGUCGUCAGCUCGUGUCGUGAGAUGUUGGGUUAAGUCCCGCAACGAGCGCAACCCUUAUUAUCAGUUGCCAGCAUUAAGUUGGGCACUCUGGUGAGACUGCCGGUGACAAACCGGAGGAAGGUGGGGAUGACGUCAAAUCAUCAUGCCCCUUAUGACCUGGGCUACACACGUGCUACAAUGGAUGGUACAACGAGUUGCGAACUCGCGAGAGUAAGCUAAUCUCUUAAAGCCAUUCUCAGUUCGGAUUGUAGGCUGCAACUCGCCUACAUGAAGUCGGAAUCGCUAGUAAUCGCGGAUCAGCAUGCCGCGGUGAAUACGUUCCCGGGCCUUGUACACACCGCCCGUCACACCAUGAGAGUUUGUAACACCCAAAGUCGGUGGGGUAACCUUUUAGGAACCAGCCGC